rnacentral:rRNA from 1 species
CAGUAGCCGCGGGAAUACGGAGGGCGCAAGCGUUAAUCGGAAUUACUGGGCGUAAAGCGCACGCAGGCGGUCUGACAAGUCAGAUGUGAAAUCCCCGGGCUUAACCUGGGAACUGCAUUUGAAACUGUCAGGCUGGAGUCUUGUAGAGGGGGGUGGAAUUCCAGGUGUAGCGGUGAAAUGCGUAGAGAUCUGGAGGAAUACCGGUGGCGAAGGCGGCCCCCUGGACAAAGACUGACGCUCAGGUGCGAAAGCGUGGGGAGCAAACAGGAUUAGAUACCCCUGUAGUCCCUGUCUCUUAUAC